CCUACGGGAGGCAGCAGUGGGGAAUAUUGCACAAUGGGGGGAACCCUGAUGCAGCGACGCCGCGUGAGUGAAGAAGUAUUUCGGUAUGUAAAGCUCUAUCAGCAGGGAAGAAAAUGACGGUACCUGACUAAGACGCCCCGGCUAACUCCGUGCCAGCCGCCGCGGUCAUACGUAGGGGGCAAGCGUUAUCCGGAUUUACUGGGUGUAAAGGGAGCGUAGACGGUUAUGUAAGUCUGGAGUGAAAGCCCGGGGCCCAACCCCGGGACUGCUUUGGACACUGUGUAACUGGAGUACAGGAGGGGCAGGCGGAAUUCCUGGUGUAGCGGUGAAAUGCGUAGAUAUCAGGAGGAACACCGGCGGCGAAGGCGGCCUGCUGGACUGAAACUGACGUUGAGGCUCGAAAGCGUGGGGAGCAAACAGGAUUAGAUACCCUUGUAGUC
rnacentral:rRNA from 1 species